GUUUAAGUAAAAUUUGCAUUACUUAAAAGUAAUUGCAGCUUUUGCCAUUACUUAAAAGUAAUGGCACCAACCUAAUAUUGUUAUUACUUUUUACCAACCUAAUAUUGUUAUUAACUAAAGUCCAUCAUUUAUACAUAUUGCCUUAGGUUUUUAAAAAAUUUUUUACCUAAUGACUUUUUUGUGUUCCAGGAGCCCAUCCAGGAUACCACUUUUUUUUUUUUUUUUUUUUCUUUUUGAGAUAGAGUCUGGCUCUUUUGCCCAGGAUGGAGUGCAGUGGUGCGAUCUUGGCUCACUGCAACCUCCGCCUCGCAGGUUAAGUGAUUCUCCUGCCUCAGCCUCCUGAGCAGCUGGGACCACAGGCAUGCGCCACCAUGCUCAGCUAAUUUUUGCAGGAUACCACAUUUUAUUUAAUUGUCAGGUCUCCUUAGCAUCUUCUUGGCUGUGACAGUUUCUCAGAAUUGUCUUUGUGAUGACCUUGACAGCUUUGAGGAGUGCUGGUUGGGUAUUCUGUAGGAUGCCCCUGUGUUGGGAUUUUUAUGAUGUUUUUCUCAUGAGUUUCCUGGAGUUAAUGAAUUUCAGGGAGGAAGACCCCAGAGGUCUGUUUUCAUCACAUCAUAUCAAGCAUUCCACCUUCAUUAUGACUCUUCACUGUUGAGGGUGACUCUGAUUCACCUGGUCAAGGUAGUGUUCAUCAGGUUUCUCCACCACACACUUACUCUUGCCCUCUACUUUCCACACUGCUGUCUUUGGAGGAGUGUUACUAUGCCCAAGUCACGCUUGUGGAGUGGGGAUUUAAUGUUCUCACUCUUCGAGGGUAGAGUAUCUGCAUAAACUACUUGGAAUUCUGCAUGGAAUAUUUGUGUCUUCUCCCCCAUUUAUUUAUUUAAUCAUUUAUUUAUAUCACAGUAGACUCAUGGACAUUUAUUUUAUGCUUUAUGUUAUAAUCCUAUACUACUUUAUUUAUUUUGUUGCUUAAAUUUUUCCAGAUGGAACAAUUUGGGCUUCAAAAGUUGCUACUGUUGGCUCCUGUGUUCUUGUGAUGUACACACAUCAUGGUGUGGUGUGUUUUUAUCUUUGGUUUUGUUUUCACUUCUUUUUUGCUUUUUGUGCCUCUUCUUCCCUCUUCCCCACCCCUCAUACAUACACAAAGGGCAGCAUGCUACUAUUAUUUCUGGAAUCUCAGCCAUAUUCUUCUUUUCUUUUGUUUUAAAUAAAAAUCAUACUAGAGGAGUAGGCAGUGUGGGUGAGUUCUCUCACUUUACAUUUUACUUUGCAUAAUUUAGGCCCCUUUUAGGCCCUCUUCCCCCUGCACCCCAGGUGUGUUUGCUACCAUACCUCCCCAGGGGAUAGCCCUCCAAACCUGCUUGGCCACCUAUUCUGGUCUUAAAGUCCCAAAGGGAGGCCAUCACAAACUACGCAGUAUGGAGAAGACCUGAAUCCUAAUUUUGGCUUAACCCCAAACUUGGGCGAUUCAGUUUUACCUGUGUCCUCUCUAUACCAUAGUUUCUUCACUUUAUGACAAGGGGUUUGCUGUGGCUGGUCUCCAAGGCCUCUUCCAAUCUUGACAUUCUAUGAUUCUGUAAGUCUUUGAAUAAUGGCCCAGGAUGCCAACAAGAAGUCACCAAUGAGAGUUCAGUUGUUCUGUUGGAAAUCUUUGUAAAAUCACAGAGAAAAGGAGAAGAAAAAGAAGAAAGAGGAAAAACUGGACUCAUAAAUAGGAAGACAAAGAAUGAAUGUGGGCUGGGGAGGGAAGAGUCAUUGACAGGGACAAGAAAUAAAUAACUUUGAUGCAAAUCCUGGGAAGACUCUGGAACACCAUAGAGGCACCUAUGUUAACUCUAUUUCAUUUUGGAAAAGUUGACUAGACAAAAGGUGCAGAGUAGAGUAUGCAGUGAUUUCAGGGUGUUGGGCUCUGACAAGAUAAUGCCGACUUAGACAAUGUUAGUCAACAUCAAAUGUCUGGAUCAAGAGAGGCAAGAAUCCCGUGGAUUUGGCAUUGGCCAGAACUUGUCUGGAAUCUUGUUUUCUGCCUUGAGUGUCAACUGUUGAGAGCUCUGUUGACAAACUGGCAUUUGUCCUUGGGAGAGUAGCCUCAGGACCAGGGGUGAAGAGUUCAGUAAAGUGUGUUUAACCGAAGGAAAGAUACAGGGUGUGUCAGAUUUUGUAAGGAUUUUCAAGGAUCAGUAGAUAGUGGCCCUACAGUGGAAUGAACCUUCACACCAAGGAUCUGCUUCCUUUGUUGGAGGUGGGAAAGCAAAAGCUGGAUUCUUGGAAUUGUCAUGGCUGCCGUCUAAGUGAUGCUACCUUGAGUGGAGGGUUUGGCCAACUAAGGAGUAAGGCCUCUCCCUCAUGUCACAUUGAGUGGUGCUAAUAUUUCCUGAAGUUUCCCUUUCUUUUCAGUUCAGUGUUUCAGAAUCUCAGCCUUCCAGCAGAAUCCCCUUUGUUUGCUCUAAAUAUACAUUCCCAAGCCCCGUGUGGCCAUUCUGAUACACUAGGUCUGGGGUUGGGGGGUUGUGGGUGCCGAGAAUCAGUAUUUCUAUCAAGCUCCCAAGGGGACCUGAUAUAUACAUGGAGCUGAAAAGUACCCACCUAACAGACUUGCCAGCUCCUUAAGGAUAAGAACCAUAUUUUCUUCCUUUUUUUGUAUGCCUCCCCAUGCAAGGAUAAUUACACAGAAUAAGCACUGAGAUGCCUGUUGAUGGAUUUAUUCCAGCAAAUUUUUUUUUAGCUCUCUUUGUCUGGAACUUUGCAAAAUAAACACCAUGGUCACUCCGUGCUUUGUGAGUGACGUGCUAGAAUGGAAUUUCACUGUUUUAAAUUCAGGCUUAAUUUCUUGCUUUCAAAUGAAUUAUGAAAGGAAGAGGAGAGACCUUUGGAAAAGUCUGAAUGUUGAUGCCGACGACUAGCCAGGCGCUUCCCUUCCAGCUGGUUUCGUGAGGGAUUAAGAGGCCACUGUUGUGAAUCUCCCAUUAGUGAUGGUCCCAGGCCCCCUCCUCAUUGUGCAUUUAUCUUACAAGAGGCAUAUUUAGGAGAUGUUUCCAUUCUAUUUUAUCUGCAGAAUUACUUUCCAUUCUCAGGUCUUUUAUAUAAGUAUUCCCUUGAACCCAUUCCAAAAACUGGAUUUUUAACCCAAUAGACCAUAACUGCAGUGUUUUAUUGUGCUUACAUAUUUCAAAAUGUGAAUGUAAGUAGAUUUAGCAAAGUUAAAAUAAAAUGAAAACUUUUCAAAGGGCACCACUGCUCGCAUUCCCAUGUUGGAGUUUUCCCUUUGGGGUUCUUAUGCCAUUUUAAAGACUCUGAAGACAGGAAGAAUUUUUCUCUUGGGUAUUUUUUUUUUUUCCUCUGCAAGGGAUGGGGUCAUAAGACAUUGGUGAGGUUAGGCCUUCCUUUGUCUCCCAGGAGCACACUUGAUAGCAAUGUAGGAUGAAUUCCAAAUCUGUGAGUUAGUGCCAUAUAUAGCAGUGUUGUCAGUAAGAUUUCUCACUGGCAUCUCUGCUUCCCCUCUUGACUCUCUUGAAAUCUCUUCUUCAGGCAGAGGCUGGAGUCAUUUCUCUAAAAUAGAAAUCUGAUCUUGCCACCACCCUACUUGCCACUCCCUGCUUAAUCCCUUCACUGGCUCACCAUAUCCCUUAGGAUAAAAUAACAAAAUCCUUUCCAGGGCCUGCAAGACCCCUGCCAACCUCUGCAGCUUACUUUGUACCACUUUCCCCAGAAACCUGCUACCUACCCUGCUCCUUGCCACAGGGCCUUUGCACAGGCUCUUGUCUCUGGCUAGAGUAGUCUUCCCAUCCUGCUUUAGCUAAUCAACUCUUUCUCAUCAUUUAGGGUUCAAAUGGAUCAUCACUUUCUCUGGGGUGCAGGGGUCUUUCAUAUAAGUAUUCCUUUGAACUCAUUCCAAAAAAGUGGAUUUUUAGAAAUAGAAAAAACAAAUUUAGAAAUAGAAAAUUAAUUGAGUUUUAGUUUUUAGAAAAUUAUCUAAGAAGUAGAUUUUUAGAGAUAGAAAAUUAACUUAGAUCACAGAAAAUUAUCCAAACUCAGUUAAUUUUCCCUUUUCCAGCAACUGUAUUUGUCCUCCCCACUUCUCUUCCCUGCCUUCUUUUUUUCUCCUUAGCACUUACAGUGUCUCACUCAUGUAGACUCGAAGCUUCACAAGGGCAGGGAUUUUAGUCUAUUUCAUUGAAAAUCUGUCACCAGUCACUGGCCCAGAGAGAGUCCUCAAAAAUAAUUGUUGAAUGAAUGAAUGAAUGAAUGAAUGAUGAUGGCGUGAUGAUUGUGUAUUCCUCAUCUGGCUGUAAGUUUCACAAGGCCAGGCACUGGGGUCCUAUUUUGCUCACUCUUGCUGUGUGGGAAAGAGUUAGUACAGCAGACUGUCGCAAGCUUGGCUCUUGGCUGCAUCUGGGAACUUGGAAUUUAGGAGGGCUGUCACCAUUCCCAGAUCAGAUAAAGAUGGCUCACUCUGUCUAGGCUGCUUGUACCAAAAAUAGGGCUCAUGUGGAAUACCUGCUUUCCUUUGUGGAGGCUGGAAUUUUGUUAUAUGCUACAGAGAGGGUGCCUACAUGACCAACUUCCAAUAAAAACUGUGGACACUGAGUCCCUAAUACAUUUCUCUGGUAGACAAUACUUCAUAUAUAUUUUCACAGCUCAUUUCUGGGGGACUAAUUAAAUACAUCCUGUGUGACCCCACUGGAAGAGGACAUUUGGAAUCUUGUACCUGGUUUUCUCCAGACUUCGCCUCAUUCACCAUUUCCCUGUGCUCAUUUUGCCUUGCAUCUUUUUGCUGUGAUAAAUCUCAGCCAUGAGUGUGACUGUAUGCUGAGUCUUGUGAGUCUUCCUUGCAAACUACCAAACCUGGGUUGGCAUUUCAGUGCCUGACACAGUUGUAUUCCUAAGAUAUAGUUGGGACCAGACCUCAAGAAAAUAGCCAAGAAAUACUGGCUGAAUGAACGAAAGAGGCCAUAUGCAGUCAGCCCCCCUCUCUCUGGGUUCUACAUAUGUGGAUUUAACUAAUGACGGAUUAAAAGCAUUCGAACAAACAGAGGGUGGUAUCUGUACUGAAAAUGUACCAACUGCUUUUUUUUUGUCAUUAUUCCUUAAACAAUCCAACAUAACCACUAUUUAUAUCGUGUUUAUAUUGUAUUAGGUAUUAUAAGUAAUCUAGAGAUGAUUUAAAGUGUACAGGAGGAUCACAUACAUUAUAUGCAAAUACUAUACAAUUUUAUGUUAGGGACUUGAGCGUUUGUGGAUUUUGGUAUUUGGGGGGGUUCCUUGAACCAGUCCCCUUUGGAUACUGAGGGACAACUGUACAAAUCAAAUUUAGGAGUGGAUGCAGGUCAGUCGUGACAUCUCAUCCGCCCCUUCCUCACCCAAGAUUCUCCGUGGCUUGUGUGAAAUCCUCACCACGUCAGAAUAUUUCUGCUCAUGGUUGCUGAGACAGAGCUGGACAGGUCCAGCAUCCAUUCCCCAAAACAGAACUCAAACUGACGAUCAUCAAGAUAUUCCAACUAUGGCAAACUGCAGAAGAAUUAGGACAGAUGUAUGACUUAUUUCAUAUAAAGCUAAAUCAGUUUAAUUUAUAUGAUUGUCCUUUAUUCUGAGAUUAUGUUCAACAGAUAUUUUCAGUGUUAAAAUAUUCUUUUUUUUUUUUUUUUUUUUUUUUUUUGAGGCAGGGUCUGGCUCUGUCACCCAGUUUGUAGCACAGUGGCACGAUUUUGGCUCACUGCAGCUUCCUCCUCCCAGGCUCAAGAGAUCUUCUUGCCUCAGCCCUCCAAGUAGGGCUACACGUGCGCGCCAACAUGCCUGGCUAUUUUUUUGUAGGGACAGGGUUUCAACAUGUUGCCAAGGCUAGUCUGUAACUCCUGGGCUCAAGCAAUCUGCUCACCUGGGUCUCCCAAAGUGUUGGGAUUAUAGGUGUGAGCCACCAUACCUAGCCAAAAUAUUCUUUUCAAAGUGAUUAGAAGUAGGAGAAGCUUGCUCUCUCUUUAUUGGCACUUCUGUCUUACAUGCACUUUUGAUUUAAAUUAUUCUGUCUUCUAUGAAAUGACAGUGAUUGGAGGUGGUUUAUUUUUUUUUAAGUCUGCUUACUUGGAAAAAUAAAACAAAGUUGACAACCUGAUUUCAGACCUCCCAAUUUUUUCUAAAAAAAAAAAAAAAAAAGUCUUCUUGGUCCAUGAAAUCCAGAAAGUGGAGACCAAACUAGCAAAUUCGCAAGGAGCUGCUUGUUAGAAAAACACUUGAGAUCAAGAGUCAGAAAUAUCUGGGUUGAAUUCCAAUUCUCUCAUAUUAAGUGACAAGUUGCAGAAUGACCCUGUCUUUCUGAGCUGUGUUUUUAUAUCUGUACAAUGGGGUUAAUACUACUAGUAUUUGCUUCCAGGGAUUGUUUUGGAGGGGAGUGAGGAAUAAAUGAUAUAAUUCACUAAAACACGUAGAAUAGUAUUUGACACAGAGUAGGUCAGCGUGCCCAAAGUAUCAGAGUCAUUAUUGAGUUAUUCCGCUACCUCUGUAUUUGAGUCCUUUCUUUUGGGCUUUCCUACUUAACGUCGCAGAUGUUAUUUUUUUGGAGAGGGUGUAGGCCAAGAAAGGGGUGGGAGAAACGAGGAAGGUGUUGAUAGAACCCCUUAGUGUCCUCCUCAUACCACAGACCCUCUCUUCCCCCACUUACUUGGCCAAUUUUUUUUUUUUUUUGGUGGAGUCUCGUUCUGUCUCCCAGGCUGGAGUGCAAUGGUGCGAUCUCAGCUCACUGCAACCUCUGCCUCCCAUAUUCAAGGGAUUCUCCUGCCUCAGCCUCUCGAGUAGCUGGGAUUACAGGCGCGUGCCACCACGCCCAGCUAAUUUUGUAUUUUUAGUAGAGUUGGGAUUUCUCCAUGUUGGUCAGACUGGUCUCGAACUCCUGACCUCAGGUGUGAUCCACCCGCCUCAGCCUCCCACAGUGCUGGGGUUACAGGUGUGAGCCACUGCGCCCAACCUUUUUGGCCAAAUUCUUGCCUGAUCCCCUCUCCACCCCUGCUACGUGUAAUAGAAAGGUAGGGCCAUGUUGGAGAGGGAUCCAACAUUUAUUAUCCCCAUUUUACAGAUGAAGAAGUUAAGGUGGCCAGGCAUGGUGGCUCAUGCCUGUAAUCCUAGCACUUUGGGACGCCGAGGUGGGUGGAUCACUUGAGGUCAGGAGUUUGAGAGCAAUCUGCCCAACAUGGUGAAAUCCUGUCUCUACUACAAAUAAAAAAUUAGCCGGGUGUGGUGGCGUGUGCCUGUAAUCCCAGUUACUCGGGAGGCUGAGGCAGGAGAAUCGCUUGAGCCUGGGAGGCAGAGGUUGCAGUGAGCCGAGAUCGUGCCACUGCGCUCCAGCCUGGGUGACAGAGCAAGAUUCCAUCUCAAAACAAAACAAAACAAAAAAACAAGAAGUUAAGGAUUGGAGAGCAUAAGUAUCUUCUAUGGGGCUACCCAGCUAGGCGGGGACAGGGCAGGGAUUUGAACCUAGGAGCUCUUGGAUUGCAAUUUUUCAUUCACCCCUCCCUCUCCACCCUUCCUGUCUUCAAGCCUGAGCAGGUGAUACUGCAUUUUGUACCAUAUGACUUUAAAACAGAACCACGAGUUCAGAACUUUGGUUAGGUCCUGCCCGAGUUCUCUAGCUAACGCACGGCAACGCUGGUUUCCAACCUUUCACUGUGCGGGUUUCUGAUGAGUACGCUGGCAGGCCUCUGGCUUCAGAGAUGCCACUACAAAGGUCUCCUCCUUUUCAUAAACAUUGCUGCAAGGCCCGCUUCUCAAGAAAGCAACUUGUGCUACCUCCUGCGUGCUUUUAUGCUUCGCUGUGAAGUGCAAAGUUGGGCUGGCAGGCCUGGCUUUCUUCUCCUCUUUAUGUAUGAUUCAUCAAGAGGACUCCAGGCUGUGGUGUGCGGUGCAACCCGGGCUGUGUUCCCGAGUGCAUCAAAAGGGGAUUGGGACCUGUUUUCCUUCCCACUUACAUAUAGGUCACCUAUGGGAGCAGGGGAGGAACCAUCUGAGGUGUUUUUUUUUUUUUUUUUUUUUUUUAGGUUUCUCAUUGCUGAGAACAGUUCCAGCUCUGCUGACCAAAGGCUGAGUGUCCUUUUAUUAGUCUGAGCCCCUAGAGAGCCCAAAGAGGCAACCCUCGAGCCAACUGACAGCCAGCUGUGGGGAUGGAUCCUGUUUUUCAUGCAAUGAGCACUCUUGAACCCAGAGAAGGUGCAGGUUGGAGAUGCAGCUAUGUGACUCUGUACCAGAGAGAGACGUUUUUGUACAUUUGGAAUAAAAAUUUUUAGCAUUAGAGAUUCACUUUUUUGGGUCUAAAUACAAAUGUCCAGGAGAAUAGGAAUGCCAUAGUGGUGAGCUAAGAGCAGGCAGUUAGUUAAGUGUAUGACAAGUGUCUCAUUAUAAAUGGAUGCUGAAAUGUCCAAGUGUGGAAAUGAUACGCUUCAGCUCUUAUUUUUAAGUCAUCCUUAUCUCUUUCACUUAUUCCCUCAUUCAGGCACCAAAAAUGCUGUUUGACUGGGAGAGCAAGUGGAGCUGUUGAAAGUUCUAGGGACAGCCGGGUGCGGUGGCUCAUGCCUGUAAUCCCAGCACUUUGGGAGGCCAAGGCGGGCAGAUCACAAGGUCAGGAGUUCGAGACCAGCCUGGCGAAACCCCAUCUCUACUAAAAAUACAAAAAUUAGCUGGGCAUGGUGGCGGGUGCCUGUAAUCCCAGCUACUCAGGAAGUUGAGGCAGGAGAAUCAUUUGAACCCAGGAGGCGGAGGUUGCAGUGAGCCAAGAUUGCGCCACUGCACUCCAGCCUGGGUGACAGAGCAAGACUCUGUCUUAAAAAAAAAAAAAAAAGUUCUAAAUCAGUGGAUCCUGCCGAUAAACAUCAUCUGGAGGAAUGAAGCUGAGGGCCAAUGGUUUAGAGGCUCAGCACCAGACUGGAGAGAGAGAGAGAGAGAGAGAGAGAGAGAGAGAGAGAGAGAGUGUGUGUGCGCGCAUGUGUAUGCGCUGGUGUGUGGGUGGGCUUGAGAAAAGUGCUGACUUUGUGAACGAGGAGGAGGGAAAAGGGUCCAGAGCAGUAAAGAGCCUGUAAAUAAAUUCAUACCAGCUUCAGCCCCAUGCCUUCACUUGGGAUUCCUCAUCCAACCCUGACGGCUUCCCUGCAGGACAUAUUUCCCCCUCUUACAGAUAGGAAACCUUGCCCAAUGUGAUUACGCCAGGAAGUCAGAUUUCAAAUCUCAGUGUGCCUAAUGCCAAACCUGUACCUCUUGCCACUCAACAUCUGCAGUCAAAGCCUUCCUGACUCAGGAUUUGCUGGGGUCUGGCUCUGGGCUGUUAGAAUUAGAUGCAUGAGACCCUCCUUUCAGUCUAAACCUUAAGUAUUUUGCCUGUUGGACAGAUGCCUGGUUGUCCCUUUAAUCCAUCGCCCAAAAAGCCUGAGGAAGGAUGGCAGGUGGACUUGGAUCUAGGCCACUCCCUUAGAUCCUGAUUAGGGGACCUCUGCGACUGCUCAUCUGGGAGGAACUACGGGAGCGCUAAUGUGUUGUCCUUGACUGGGCAAGAAGGGAAGGAGAAUUGUGAAACAUGCACAAUUAGAAGUCGUGCACCUGGGGUUGUUGAGAGGAUGAAGUGCUAAAAAUGCGUGACCAGCAUUCACACAGGCACUAAGACGGUAAGUACUCACUACUUAGCGCUGUCAAUAUCAUCUCCGUCCACAUCAGUGUCGUCAUCGUCCUUAUGAAAAGCCCUGGGCAUCAUUUUGCCCUUGAGCUGGAUGUCCAUGUUGGAAAAACAGCUAGUAGAAGGCGUGCCCAAAUCUCAGAAGUUGGCGUUUCCUUGCAGAUAUCAUUGGUGGCCAUUGUAGGGGAAAAAGAUGCUUUGGAAACCAGGACACAGAGAAAAGUGCCUCGUAUUAUACAGAGCCAAGAGAGGUCACUGUGGAAGUACAGAGGAAGCCUUGGCCUAAUUGCACGGUUAAUACAAUUCCGUAACUCAUCCUGCCAACACGAAGGUAGAUGGACGGUCCUUAUCCUCGCUGCGGAACAUUGCCUGUGUUUUCCUAGGAGAGACAUCUGCACUCUAGUAGUGAUUAGAAUGCCUUUGACAGGCUCUUGCUAUUAAGAGUUUCUGGCUCCAGUUUAAUAAAAGGUAGUAUAUUAUAAUGGAAACCAGGUUAUUAUUGAUAAGGACUAGACAUAUUAGAGACCAGGUUAAAGCUUUGAUAGUCCCAAAUGCAAGGGGAGGGAGCUAAGGGUUAUUGCAAACCUACUAUGUGUCAAUUGCUCUACCAGACACCUCAGAGACAUCACAGCCAAAGACCCCCACCUUUGAAUAAACCAAGUUUGGCCUCUCUGAUAUAUUAAUAUAUUUAAUCAUCAGACUUUCAGUGUUAAAGGAGAUUACAGUAGAGGCAUCCAGUUGAUUGGGGAAUAGUUGUUGCAAAUGAUAAGCUCUUUUGAAUAAACUGAUACUGACUUAAUGAGGUUCUGCUGUGUACUAUCUUUUUUUCCCUAAUAGAAAAUAGAGUAGCUGCCCUCCCCAUCCGCCAUCCUCAGUCCUUUUGCUUACUAGUAAUGACCCUCUUUUCUCUCACUCCAUGGGAACUUUUAAAACUGAUAAUUAAUGGAUUUUUAGCCUCAAGUUUCUGGAAUUCUAAGAGGGCCUGAAAGGUAAGUGCUCACUUACUGAGGUGUGUGAACAAAAACAGGCAACCUAGCUCAGCAAGUAAGAAUGGAGUGGCAUCUCCCCACCUGCUCUGGAGUCAUGUGUUUGCUUCUGGAAGGGAGGCAAGAGGCAUUCAACCUCCUGUUAAUUUGGUUGCUCCUUCAGAUACACUCUUCAUGGUACAGCCCUGAGCUGCAUCAUUUAAAGACCAAUUGUUAAGGACCAAUCUGAGGGCCUGUGCAUUAGUUAAAACUCCUUAUCUGGUCAUAGAGGGUGGUGUGGUUUGGACGCGUUCCCCUUGUCUGUGCAAUUCCCAACAGAGGCAAGUGCGCAUUUGAGACACGUUGAGGGUUCAAGCUGUCCAAUCCCUGCUCAUCUGCAGCACACCAAGGAAUGUGGACUAAUGAAAAAUAAAUUGCAUUCAUGCAAUGCCCAUCACGCUGCCUGCAUUUUCUAAUCUUCACAAUAACUCUGUGUUGAGAAAUAUUCCUGCCUGUAAUCCCGGCACUUUGGGAGGCUGAAGCGGGCAGAUCACCUGAGGUCAGGAGUUCGAGACCAGCCUGGCCAACAUGGUGAACUCCCCCCAACCAACGCCCCUUCCCAUAUCUACUAAAAAUACAAAAAUUAGCUGGGCAUGGUGGUGGGGACCUAUAAUCCCAGCUACUUGGAGGCUGAUGCAGCAGAGUCUGUUGAACCCAGGAGGCAGAGGUUGCAGUGAGCCAAGACAGUGCCACUGUGUUCCAGCCUGGGCAACAAGAGUGAAACUCUGUCUCAAAAAAAAAAAAAAAAAAAAAAAAAAAUUGUUUCUGGCCCCACGUUACAGAUGAGGCUUUUAAAGAUACCCAGCCAAUGGUCCACAGUGAUGUAACUCAUCAGUGGUCCACCUGACAUUGGAAAUUCGGUUGCUUUGGAACUUUCUACUACCUCCCCUUUCCUUACUCACUGACAUCAUUCCCAGAUCAAAGAAAGAUAAAAGAAGGAAGGGCUGGAGACAUUGUUUUCCUGUAUGCUCCUUGAUGAAGGGCUCAGAGCUAAGCGCGGAGUAGGUGCUUAAGCCCUUCCAUUUGAAAGGAGCUUUAAAUACCUUUGGUGGCAACUAAGAGUGUCAAAAUGGAGGGAUGUAUAGGGGACCUAGGGCCUGGGUAACAUUGUGCCAGCCCAGGGCCUAUUGUGUUGUGUGUGUCUCCACUUUCCAGCCUUUAGGAAUGCAGAGGGGGACCUCUGUAAUUGGUACCAGCAUCCUUUCCUUGCAGGGUCCGUCCUUCCUCUGAGUUUGGGGAAGGGGUCUCCAUGGUAGACCCAGAAUCACUUUCAUCUUGCUCACCUGUCUGUGCAGUGUUUGAGUUCUUCCCUGGGAAGCUUGCUCACAUCAUCCACUUCUCUCUGGGUUCUCUGUACCGCUUUCCCCAAUCCAAGCUAAGCUCUUCUCUUAGUUAUUCUAAUAACUGCCCAAUAUCAGGCACUACCCUCAACACUGUUUCCCAUGGCAAUUAUUUUACAUGACAGUUUAAAAAACAGGAAUGCUCGAUUUGUAUUCCCAUUUUGCAGACAAGCCAACGAAGGCUUGGAGGGGUUGAAUGGCCCAAGUUUCCUAAGUGGCCAGGGGCAGAGUCAGGAUCUGAACCCAAGACAUAGGCCCAGGAGUCUGUGUUUGUUCUUUAAACCUCUCUAUUCAGUUGCCCAGCUCUUUUCAUUCCCUGUCCUUUCCCCCUCUGGCUGUGUCUGCCUUUCCAACCCCUACCACCUUCCACCACCAUUUUUUUUUGUUUCCUCUGCAAGCAACAUCUGAAAGGCCCAGACCCAGCUUCUUGGCCUUGGGCUCUGAUAAGAUCUGUCUGCGCUCCUUUUGUCUGGCCUGUACCUGCCUUUUCUGAAUGACCCUGUUAAUUGCAAUUGACUCUCAUAGAAUGUGGAUAGCAGUGCCACUUGACACCAGACUAAUGCUUCUGACUUUUCCAUGGUGCCCCAGCAGCAGGCUGGAGGGAAGGGCGGGGGCGGUCAGAGGAGAGAUAGAGCACUUCAGAUUCCAAUCAAAUACAUUAGAGCAUUAGAGCUUUUCUCUUCCUCAGGGUGCUCUCUCUCUCCGGGUUGGGAGGAGAUGUGGCAUUUCUAGGAAUUCACAGUAAAAUCAGAAAUAAUUAGGAGAUUUCACAGUUGUAGCUCCUGUGAAGAUUCAGGAAUUUUUUUUCCUUCUAUUUGCAAGCUUUAGUCAUAGGCAUGGAAAAAGGACUUUGAAGAAAACCUGAGAGAUAUGAGUGUAAAACAAGAGAAUCAUUCCCUCUGGGGUGCUAGUAGUGGGGGCUUAAUUUCCUAAAGGCUUACUGGGUAUCAGGGCUGCCUUCCUUUAUAAUCUUUUACCCGUCCUAUGGGGGAUGAACAGAAACACACUUUAGUGCUAGAAAAGCUGGGCCCAACAGACCAGUCUCCUGUUCCAUACUUGGACAUUUAUUGUUCUUUUUGGGUAAGGUGAAAACUUGAAACCAAAAGUCUGUUGAGUUUGGAAGACUUGACUCCCAGGAUGUACAAAGUACUUCUGCAUGUGCGCAAAGUCCUGUAGGCACAGACAUCAAUGACACAUGCAGUGUGGGCCCAGGCAUCGAUGACACACGCAGGGAAGCAACCCAAGCUGGGUCAGUCCUUACAAGGAGACCGGCACCUGGGCUCACACCUUGCCGUAUAUGACUUCAUGGGAACCUCACAACAGACCUGUGGGCUCAGAAUUAUUCUCUCACUUUGCAGAUGAGGAAAUAGAAGUGCACAGAAGGAAAGUAAGAGUGUUUGAGAUCCUGUAGUGGGUUCAUUGCUGAGAAUAAACCUGGAGUUGCCUCUGGGAGGACCUGGUGGUGGGUGGGAUGGAGAGAGAGGCCCCCCUCUCCAGACUCCAGGGGCACAGAUUGGAUUUUUUUUUUUUUUCCAGACAGAGUUUCACUCUUGUUGCACAGACUGGGGUGCAGUGGUACGAUCUUGGCUCACUGCAACCUCUGCCUCCCGGGUUCGAGUGAUUUUCCUGCCUCAGCCUCUGGAGUAGCUGGGAUUACAGGUGCCCGCCACCACGCCCAGCUAAUUUUUUGUCUUUUUUAGUAGAGGCAGGGUUUCACCAUGUUGGCCAGGCUGGUCUCAAACUCCUGAUCUCAGGUGAUCCACCUGCCCCAGCCUCCCACAGUGUUGGGAUUACAGGUAUGAGCCACCAUGCUAGGCCCAGAUUGGCUUCUCUGUGAGGAUGAGGACUAAUAGGAAGAUAGAGUGGUAAUCUAAUGUCAACUGUGGAGGGAGUGGGAGGCAGGUGUUCGCAGGGCACAGCUGGUUUCCUUUUUAAAUCCCACACAGUGCUGGGGCAGUUUCAUAGCCUGUGACCACACAGAUAGGAAAGUGACACAGCAACACCAGGCAGAUUCAUUUUCUUUAAAUGAGAGGUUCAAAAUAGAAACACAAAGCAUUGAGUAUUGAGAAGAAAUGGAUCUUCAGGUUUGGAGGGAGGCCGAUAGAGAGUGUCUGGAGUUGCCAACGUCCUCUCCUUGGGUCAUGGGUGUGUGUGUGUGUGUUUUCUUCUUCUUGUUGGGUUUUUUUUUUUUUUUUGGCUUUUGCGCCUAUGGUGACUUUUCGCGAAUGGAUACUAUUGAAGGAAUGUUUCACUUCCAAAUCCAGAUCUCUGACUUCCCUUGAAAAUUUGGAGUGCCACUCAAGUCGGCCGCUCUGAGCUAGAAUCCUGGUGUUCAGAAUUGGCAGGAAGGGCACAGGGGCAAGGUAUAGGCUCACGUCUCCACAUUCUGCACCUCCCAGGCUCCUGCCAUUGAUGUGAGCGGGUUCCUGUACUGCAUGAAGCAGGGGUUUGCAUCCGAAACAGCCACCCGUGCUGAAUAUGUAGGUGAUGCGUUGAUCUGUACAGCAAACUACCAUGGCACACAUUUACCUAUGUAACAAACCUACACAUCCUGCACAUUGUACCCUGGAACUUAAAAGUUGGUGAAAGAAAGAAGGGGCCGGGCAUGGUGGCUCACGCCUGUAAUCCCAGCAUUUUGGGAGGUCGAGGCAGGCAGAUUGCCUGAGCUCAGGAGUUGAAGACCAGCCUGGGCAACACGGUGAAACCCCGACUCUACUAAAAUACAAAAAAUUAGCCGGGCGUGGCAGUGUGUGCCUGUAAUCCCAGCUAUUCGGGAGGGUGAGGCAGGGGAAUUGCUUGAACCUGGGAAGCAGAGGUUGCAGUGAGCCGAGAUCAUGCCACUGCACUCCAGCCUGGGUGACAGAGCGAGACUCUGUCUCCAAAAAAAAAAAAAAAAAAAAAAGAAGAAAAGAAAGGAAGGACAGAUGGAAGGAAAAGGGAAGGGAAAGGAAAGGAACCAGCUGCAAAAAUUGUCCUAACUGAGCAUUACUGUAACAUAGAACAGCUGAAACAUUCCUCAAAGCUGAGAGGAGGGUUUGGGAGAGAAGCAGGCUGUGGUUGUGAACAGGUGCCUCCUCCAAAAAAAUUCUCUUCCUUGGAUUUCAAAAUGACCCCGGUUGAGAACAAAGCCUUUCACGCUGUGUUUAUUUUUUUUCAGGUCUAAGUUUCCCCCAGGAGAUUUUUUUUUUCCAAAGGAAAAGGCAGAGAAGCCCCCAGACCGGAGCCACAAUCAAAUGCAAAUAUGACAAUAGGACCCAUCCUGGAGAGAAAAAGCCUUCUUUUUAAUUAGAAGCCUGGAAGGACAUACCCUUUAAUUGCUGCACUUGUAAUGUCAGGGCUAUCAAUAUCCGUGGCUCUUUCAUUAAUAAACUGGCUAGUCAGAAAGCAGCAGGAGUGGGAACCUCUCCCCACCCAAUCCCCUCUCACACCCCAAGCUCUAUUUAAUCAACUGCAGACUCAAUCAAAUGGGGAAAAGAACAUGUAAAUCAGCCGCAUUCAUUCUGCUGGCCCUAAAUAGGCAGAAGGAAGGGAAACAUGAAAGGGAGCCUUCAUCUGUUUUCCUGCAGAUGCCCGGCUCGUGGUUAACCCAAGCAAGACGGCCCCGCAGAUUGCGAGUGACUCCGGGAAUGCCUAGGUUUAUGUAUGGAUUAACACAGUGAUAGACCCUGAGUAGCAAAAGACGAAGACUAAUUACCUGACAGAGCUCCCCUCCACUCGCCUGGGUCAUUGAAAUUAAUUUCUGCUUUCAAGCUUGGCAGAAAGCAGCUGCAGAAUUUCAGUUCAAUACUUAAAUUAACGGGGAGCCGAAAUUAUUUCUGUGCACAGGCAGUAUUAGAGGAGUGGCUUACCAAAUAGAUCUUGAUCGCAGACACCGAAAAAAGGAUUAUUCCUCCCUUUUUAUCAAGAGCCGUAAGUCCUUGGAAAAUGCAAAGAGGGGGAAAAAGAAGAAAAACAACAACGAGUUUAUUGGAGAGUUAACACUUAAAUACUCCAGUACAUUGAGUGUGACAUGCCUGUGUAGGAGACUGUCUGUCCCCCAAAUAAUUGACAAUUUCUCUCCAUCUAACACGAAAAUAUAUGGCACUUUUAUAUAUACUUGAAUUGGAAUCCCUAAUCCAGAGAUAAUUUGUGAAUAUCCAUUCUAUAGCAUCCCAUGUUGUCAAGAAGGUGUUGACUUACUGCAAGGUUAAGGAAAUGGGUGGAGAAUGUAGGGAGGAGGUGGAGGAUAAAGGAUCGGACUAGGAAUCAGAGUUGGGAUUUGAACCCAGGGCUUCUGUCUCCAGAUUCCUCAUUCUGUCCCUUUAUGCUGACUUUCCUUUUUUGCUCAAAGUCUCUCUCCUUGCUUCUUUCUCUUUGGGCUCCCUGCUUUUAUUUCAGCCCUGAUGGAAUCUGUCGACUUUACUGAGCUCCAUAUAGGUGCACCAGGUCAGAUUCAAUGCUGCCUAGGUCCACAGUCCUCAGUUAUUUGUUCCUGUGAUUUUCCUGCCACCGGGAGCCGCUUGUUGGAUGAGAUUUCCGGGCAAGUUGAGUCUCCAUGUUUUUGUCGUGGGCUACUGCCAGCUGAGAUAUGGAUGAAGACUCCCUUUCAUGUUUCCCUUCUUUGGUGUCCGUGGCAGUUCCCACCUCGACCGCGAUGGUAUUUCUUUUGCUUCUGCUGAGGCUGUGUGUGGGUGCACAUCAGGAUACCUCAGUGGGGAACUCUGGGCGUGAGGCACACUCAUGACAGAUGCAGGAAAAACAUCUCUUUUCUAACUGUCCAGCUCUUUAGGAUUAGGAAAUACUUUAAUAAUCAACCAAAUUCUAGAAUCCUACUGCCAAAUUAUGGCACUCAUCCUACUUGGUGUAAAAUCCUGGGAUGAUAGCUUAUAAUAGUAAUAAUAAGACCUGCUUCCCGGUGAUUCUGUAAGGAUUAAAUCAGUUCAUGGAGAUGAAAUACUUAAACUGUGCCUGGCACAAAGUAAAUGUUAGUGCUACUGUUAUCCCUACUGCUGUUAACCCCAACUAGAUAAGCCAAGAUAAGGUCCUCUCCAUUGUUUACCUGAACAGGCAGAAAAGCUCUAUGCAGCUAUCCAGACCCAAGAGGAUCCGACAGCUCUGGAACUUGUAAUAUUUGCAGGACCUCUUGCCCUCUUAAUGUCUAAAAAGUCAAAAAAGGACACGUAUGCCUAGAAAACAUGAAUAAUUAUCAUAUAUCAAAUAUUUGCCAUGUGUCAAGCAUAGUCAUAUUUAGCUAACGAAAACAACAAAAUCAACCGUGACAAGGUUUUAUUAGUAAUGAUACUGAGGCUUCCGGAGGAUCUGUAACUGUUGCAAAUUUCCAGUGGCCAGUUCAGGGACAGUGCCAGGACUUGAACCCCUGUCUCUGUGUCUCUCAGCUCAUAAGGUGUGCUACCAAGUCACCCAUGAGUAGCAAUUAGGCGCCUUCUAACAUGUCCAGCUUUAAACCUGUGACCUCAAGGCAAAUGACUUCCACAUCUCAUUACCACUCCCCAGAGCCUUCCAGCCCCCUGUAGGAGAGGGAGGUUAAUCAGCCACGCGCUGAAUCUGCUUAUAAGGCUGUUUCAUGUAUGAUUUUUAUGUCUUGGCUCCUAAUAAUGGCCCUGUUGUAAAUGAUUGUCUCACUAUGAUAUACGGGUUCCUUGCCUUCUAGGAACUGAUUUAAAAGGAAGCCCUAGACUUCUUGUGCCUAUAGAGUUUAUUCAUAUCACUCUUUGCUUGCUCAGCAGCUGAAAUGGGAUGGAGGAAAGCCCCCUAACUCCAAAAAAAAAAAAAAAAAAAAACUUUCUUCCCAGCCUGAGACAGUUGCCAUAAUUAGUAACCUCCAGCUCCCUUGAUAUCUUGAUGAUACUUUAUUAAAACAAACAAACAAAAAAACAACAAAAAACACAGCUGGGCGCGGUGGUUCACGCCUGUAAUCCCAGCGCUUUGGGAGGCCAAGAUGGGCAGAUCAUGUGAGGUCAGGAGUUUGAGACCAGCCUGACCAACAUGGAGAAAACCUGUGUCUUCUAAAAGUACAAAAUUAGCCAGGCAUGGUGGUGCAUGCGUGUAAUCCCAGCUACUCAGGAGGCUGAGGCGGGAGAAUCAUUUGAACCCGGGAGGUGGAGGUUGUGGUAAGCUGAGAUCAUGCCGUUGCACUCCAGCCUGGGCAACAAGAGUGAAACUCUGUCUCAAAAAUAAAUGAAUGAAUGAAUGAAAUACUACUUCUCCCUGUCCUCCCCACCCUAAGCAUCUGAUCAGACAGGUAGUGCUGGUGGACAGAUGGACAGACGCCUACCCCAUGUGUCACCUCCCUCCUCUAUGCAAACAAAAAUUUUAAUUAUUUCUAGAAUGACUUAGGAGAGCAAGUCAUGUGGGAUAUAUAGCGUCAGGGAGCGUAUUUUCAAACCAAAAACCUGGGCCCUUUUUUUUUUUUUGAGACAGAGUUUUGCUCUUGUCCCUCAGGCUACUGUACAGUGGGGCAAUCUCAGCUCACUGCAACCUCCGCCUACCAGGUUCAAACGAUUUUCCUGCCUCAGCCUCCCAAGUAGCUGGGAUUACAGGAGCCUGCCACCACGCCUGGCUAAUUUUUUGUAUUUUUAGUAGGGAUGGGAUUUCACCAUGUUUACCAGGCUGGUCUACAACUCCUGAACUCAAGUGAUCUGCCCGCCUUUGCCUCCCAAAGUGCUGGGAUUACAGGCCUGAGCCACUGCGCUCAGCCAAACCUCGGCACUUUUAUCCAACAAAUAUUUGUUUCGUGACUAUUAUGAGUCAGGCUUAAGACUAUGCUAGUAGGUACAGCAGGAGAGCAUAUAGAAGAGGACACAUGUAGAAAAUUGGGAAGGCAUGUUAGGAAUAUAGAUAGGAAUUACUAAGGAAAAUUGUAUUUUUGUGGAAUUCUUUGAACUCGUUACUAUUAGUAAACGGUGAGUUUUGGUUCUACUCUUCAGUGAGUUUAAGAUGAAGGAAAUCAUUAAAUAGUGCUUUCUUUUCUUCAAAAGUUGGGUUGCAUUGCAUAGUUAAAGUUCUUUAAAUUCUUCUCUAAACCCCAAGGCUAAGCGAUAUACAAUCUAGUUACAAUGGUCUGCUUGCUGUUAUCAGAAUCUAUCAAGCUCUUUCCUAUCUAAGGGUUUUUUCCAUGUACUGGUUUGUCUCCUGCGUGGUCUUAUUCUACCCUUGAGGAGGGUACCACCUCCUCAUUCCUUAGUUGUCAGUAUAAAUGCUCCUUCCUCAGAGAGGCCCAUCCUGACCAUCUGUGUUUUUUUCCUAUCAAUGCUUUAACAAAUGACCACCCAUGGGUGGCUUAAAUACCAUGAAUGUCUUCUCUUACCAUUCUGGAGGUCAGAAGUCCAAAAUGGGUCUGUCUUAGUCCUUUUCUGUUGCUAUAAAGGAAUGCCUGUGCUGGGUCAUUUACAAAGGAAAGAUAUUUAUUUGGCUCAUGUUUCUGCAGGAUGUCCAAGAAGCAUGGUGCCAAUGUAUUUCUGAUGAGGGCUUCCGGCAGCUUUUACUCAUGGUGGAAAGUGAAGGGGGAUCAGCAUGUUCAGAGAACAUAUAGGGAGAAAGGGAGCAAGAGAGGGGAGGGGAGGUGCCAGGGCCUUUAAAAGAACCAACUCUCUGGGAACAAAUAGAGGGAGAACAUUAAUCUAGCCAUGAGGGAUCCGCCCCCGUAACCUAGACUCCUGUCAUCAGCCCCGGCCUCCAACAUUGGAGAUCGAAUUUCAACAUGAGAUUUGGAAGCAACAGACAUCCAAACUAUAGCAGGGUCUCCCUGGGCUGAAAUCAAGGUGUUGGCAGGGCUGGGCUCUGGGGGCUUCUGGGGAGAAUUUGUUCUGACUUUUUCGAUUUCUAGAGGCCACCUGUGUUCCUUGGCUGGGGGCCACAUCUUCCAUCCUUAAAACCAGCAGUGCAGCGUCUUCAAUUCUGUCCCUGGCUCUGCCCCUUCUCUCCCCCUCCUAUCCCCCUUUGUCAUCUUUUUAGGUUUAUUUGUGACCUUUUAGAUCCUUUGUGACUGCAUUGGUCUCCCUUGGGUAACUCUGCAUACUCUCCUCAUGUCAAGAACUUACCUCCCUCUACAAAGUCCCCUCUGCCAUGCCAAAUAACACAUUUGCAGGUUUCAGGGUAGAGCAUGGAUGCCUUUUGAUUUUGAUUUGGUUGUUUUUGGUAGAGAUGAUGUCUUGCUGUAUUGCCAGGCUGAUCUCGGACUCCUGGGCUCCAUCAAUCCUCUUGCUUCCCAAAGUGCUGGGAUUAUAGGUGUGAGCCAGUACACUUGGCCUUUUGGCACCAUUAUUCUGCCUGCCAUCCUGUCCUAACUAAAGAAAGUAAGGUCCCUCCAUCCUCCGUCUUAGCCCUUCUUUCCUUAGCCUCCUAACACUCAACGCAAUUUAUAUAUUUUAAUUUUUUUUUUGAGACAAAGUUUCACUCUGUCACCCAGGCUGGGGUGCAGUGGCGUGAUCUUAGCUCACUGCAACCCCUGUCUCCCGGAUUCAAGCAAUUCUCUGGCCUCAGCCUCUCUGGUAGCUGGAAUUACACGUAUGUACCACUACUCCCGGCUAAUUUUUGUCUUUUUAGUAGAGACUAGGUUUCACCAUGUUGGCCAAGCUGAUCUCAAACUCCUGACCUCAGGUGAUCCGCCCUACUGGGCCUCCCGUAGUGAUAGGAUUACAGGCCAUUGUGCCUGGCGUAUAUAUUUUAAAUUUUAUUUUUCAGUUUACUUGGUUUUGCCUCCUUCUAGAACUAGAACAUAAGCUCUCUGAAGUCAGGGACCAUGCCUAGAAUCGCCUUCCUUUUAUCUCCCAUCAGCCGAAACUAACUCUGCUGUGUCACGCUGUGUUAGGCUGUGUUGGCUGUGAGUAAGAGAAGUCUCACCCAACUAGCUGAAGCAAGGUGGGUUGGAGGGGGGAUGCCUUGUGGAAGUGACAACUCUAGGCAUGUAACUGGCUCAGACUCUGCUGGGCCCAGAUAUACAGAUGUCAUCAAGAGUCUUUCUCUUCCUUUUGAGCCCAGCUUUCCCUUUGUGACCCAGCAACUUCCUUGCCCGAUGAUGGCCAAGCCUUGAGGAUGUGAAACUGCCCAGUGCCCCAGUCUGGAGUCCACCAUCCUGGGUCUAGCUGGGGACAUCCUUGAAUCAGCCUCUGGGAAUCACUGAACCAACAUGAGUCGCUUGCUACUGUGAGAUCUCAAAACACAUGGAUCAGGACAGAGGGCAGGGCUGUUUCCCCAAGGAAAUCCAAAUGCUUUACAGGAAGGGGAAUGGAUGCUGGCCAGGCCCAGGCGAGGAUGAGGAGUAACUGAGCUGCAGACCCUUGUUUAGCCCUCCUUCCACCUGGGAGACUGGCUGCUGGUUCUCAUUGCUUCUGUGGGUCUCCAGGUUUCUAUCAUUACACAGAUUAGCACACGGUUACAUGAUCAUGGACCUGUUCAGUACACAAUGAAAUCAUUUGCAAAGCACCUUGGGGUCUGUUAGAGAAGGGAAUGGAUGUCUGAGGUAUGCUAAGCCUAAUCUCCAUCUUCUCAAAGCUCCACUGCCACUGUCCCGUAAGGGUGGGCAGAUUCCUCCCCAUUCUAUAAAAUAACAGCUACCAUUUCCUGAGGGCAUACUGAGUGCUGGCAGGCACAUCAACAUCAGACCAUCACCUUCUUAUACCUCAAAAUAGUCUGCAGGGUGAUUCAGAAUCUCCUGGCUGGUAAGUGGCAGAUCCAGAGAUGAAACCCAGAUCUAACUGGACCCAAGACAGAAAUUUCUAGAACAGAAGCCACAAACGUGUUAGCUAAGUCUGGUUAUGUCAAGUGGAAUAUUGCUGGCUUUGGGGGAUCCCAGCUCUUUUUUUCUCUCUCACUCUGAGAAUUUAGAGGCUUUUAUUGCUAUUUUUCUAAAAGGCAACAUUAGUAAUCAACUUUGCCAAAAAUUUCAUAUGAACGGUGGGCUUUUCUUUCUCAUUUGCUUUCGCUUAGUAUUUUCCAUUAUUCAUUUGGCUUCUUGAACCCUCUCUAUCUGUACCCCACACUUACUCUUAUUCACCCAGAACAGGUGUGUGCCACCUUGGAGAAGAUGAAGCCAGAGAGAAAAUCAGUCAGAAAGGAAUUAUGUUGAAAGGUGACUGAAUACAUUACCACCUCCCAGGAGUUGAAUGAAAAACGGCUAUUUCUUUAGGACAUCAAACCACCUUUUUCCUCUCUAAUUCAUGCAUAUCCCUAUACAAAGACCCAAGGUGGUGAGGGGCUGGUUUUUAGAUAGUCUGGAGGCCCUCUGAGAAUGCGAGGCCCUUGUUGUAAGGAAACGCUGGUGGGUGCUCACUCCUUCAUCAGGAGCCAGCCGGCUCCCCUGCACUUACUGCUUUGGGGAAGAGUUUUUGUCAAGAUCAUUUUUGCAGAUGGCUGUAAGAUAAACAGUCACUGGUCCCUAGGAUAUCUCGCUAAUGAGACACCAAAGAUACACAUGGACAAUGGCCAGACCAUAUUUGGUCACAGAAUGCCGACCCACAAGCUCUGGAGCAGUCAACUCAGAAUGGUCAGGAUUUGGUCAGUAAUGCCCAUUUUUGCUAAAUUUUGUCCCCACUUCCAACGCAGGACCAACCAGAGAAAGCCACAUAUGCUCCCCAAACCAAUCAUACAGGAUGUCCUGGUCUAGGGAGCCCACCUCCGGCUUCCCCAUGUCCACAGCCUCCAAUCGGAGCAUACUGGAAGUCAUCCACUUUCUUUUUUGUUUAACCAUAAAGCUUUCUUUCUCCCCACCUCCUUUGAGUCUCUGCCAAACACAACUGAUGGUGGCUGACUGCCUGGCUGCAGGAAGUUCUGAAUAAAUGACCUCCAUUUGUUAUUAUUUGGGUUCCCUUUGUUUAUUUCUACAGUAGCUUUGCACUAGGUUAAUUUUUUCCCACAUGGCUUUUCCUGUUUGUUUCUUUGAUUGUUUUUAAUUAAUAAUUAGUUUGCUUAUUUAUUUGUUUAUUUUUUGAGAGGGAGUCUCGCUCUGUCACCCAGGCUGGAGUGCAGCAGUGUGAUCUUGGCUCACUGCAAACUCCACCUCCCAGGUUCAAGGGAUUCUCCUGCGUCAGUCUCCCAAGUAGCUGAGAUUACAGGCGCCCACCACCAAGCCCAGCUAAUUUUUUUGUUUUUUUUUGUAUUUUAGUAGAGACGGGAUUUCACCAUGUUGGCCAGGCUAGUGUCAAACUCUGGACCUCAAAUGAUCCAACCGCCUCGGACUUCCAAAGUGCUGGGAUUACAGGCGUGAGCCACCAUGACUGACCUGUUUUUAAUUUUUUUGGAGACAGAGUUUCACACUGUUUACCAGAUUGGAGUGCAGUGGUGCAAUCCUAGCUUACUGCAGCCUGUAGGUCCCGGGCUCAAGCGAUCUUCCCACCUCUGCCACUUGAAUAGCUGGGACUACAGGUGGGUACCACCAUAUCCAGCUGUUGAAAAAAAAAUGGUGGGGUAUUACUCUGUUGCCCAGGCUGGUGUUGAACUCUUGGCCUCAAGCGAUCCUCCUGCCUCGGCCUCCCAAAGUGCUGGGAUUACAGGCUUGAGCUACUGCCCCAGGCUCUUCCCCCGUUUGUUAAUACAUACCAUGGCCUUGGCCUUUCCCACCUCUUAGGUUUUGCUUACUUUCCCUUCUGUCCUUUACUUAUGACUCUGCCCCCUUUUGACCUCUGCUAAAAUUAUUUGUUACUGUUGUUACGUUAUUAUUUCAUGUGUUAAGUCUACAGUGUAUAACUUGGGUUUACUGAUCUCAUUUAACCCUUAGGAAAACCUCACACUUAAAUACUCAAAGCCUUGAUUUUGCAGGUCUGAUUGAUGGGCAUACAGAGGAAUUAAAUGACCUUGUCUUCCACAUAUGGUAAGCCACAGUAGUGGAAGCAGGAUCCAAAUCUGUGUCUGUGUUUGGAUCAACAGCCCUGGCCAUCAUCUUGAUUCAUUUCUCUUAUCUGUAAUUCUAUGGAGGGAGGUUCCAUUGUAUAUUUUUUUCUUUCAAUUACAGUAUUAUUUGUAUAUUGGAAGCCUAUUGUACUUUAUCUGUGUAACUAUCGUAGCAGCUAGAGGCUAGUAGGACUGGCUGAAAUGUCAGAGGAAGGAGGGAAGAAAAGGGAGAAAAGCAGGACAAAUGAACGCAGAUUAAGGAAAAUAAAAAAGAGUGUUUGGCUAACUUGCAUAAAAAGGAUCUCAUUUUUCUUUGUAACACAUUACUACAUACAGUGACCAUAGUGUUUCUCUAAUUUCUUCAGGAUGUACUUUGAAGAUGAAGAAGUAUGUGUAUCCGCUUUUUGUCUUUCAGAAUAACAUACUGCUGUCUGUAAAAAUACAGAUAAUUUCUCUCUUAAAUUCCAUAAGCUGGAGACACUGCCCCUGUUUCAAAUGAAUACAGAUUCAUUUUGUCACCUGUGUGAAAUUGGUGUCCAUGUGCCUUGCUUCCUAGGCUGUCCACCAUGGCAUCAGCCUGCCCAUGCAAUACUUGAGAUUUGCCCUGUGACUCAACCCAAAUCUAAAGCCCGAGUCGUAUGAAUCCAGGACACCUGCCUGCAAAUGCAUUUUUCAUGUAUAGGUUAUUCACUCUGGUCUUUGAGAUUAUGUAAUUAGCAUAUGUUGUCAUAGUGAUGUAUUUAUCAUAAUGGAGGUGUUCUCAGGAAACCAGAUUUAAUAGUUUUAAAUCAGAGGCCAACAUGGACUUUUAGGAAUUCCAUUCACAGUAAAUUUUAUGCAUGGUGAAAGGUUAUGGAAUGGGUUUCCAUGCCAUGUCUCCCCCUGUCCCACAAAUCUCAGCUGGCCUGCAAAGGUUCCACUGUGGAUUUCUGCCAGCCAGCCACGCUGAUGUAGACAGAAUAUUUCGGAUUUAUAUUAUUGCUUACUUGGCACAUCUUCCAUUGGAAAUGGAAUAGAGAAAAGGUGGCUUGGCUGUUUGGUUUAUGUCCUAAAACCUUAUCGUAAUGUGAUUCUCCUUAACAGAGGGAUUCGUAAGCUUAGGACUGAUAGAAAUUUGGCUUUUCUGCUGUUGGAUUGAUAGCUCCUUGACUGCUGAAGCCAUUGCCCAUCUGUUCAACUGUUGUAUUCUCGAGGAGGUUAGACCCCUGACCCAAGGCCCAGGUACCUGGCUUUUCUCAGUUGGGAUCAGAAGGCCACAAAGUUUUCUUAUAUUUUAAGCAUCAAAGUAGCACCACUGUACAGCAUCUUUACUUAAUCUGCCCUCUUUCACGUGUGUGCAUCCCUGGCAUGCUUAAACAAGAAAGGCAAAUGAGAGAGAGCGAGCAAGUGCGAGCGAGAGAGCCCUGAGGUGCCAGAAGGCUGUGGUUCCUUUGUGUCUACAGAAAAGAUAUAACGAUUGAAUUAGACUCUUAAAUAUCUGUGGAUGUCAGGUUGAAUACAAGCAGCUAUUCAGUGUUUUACUCUGGCAGGAGAACAAGUCCCCUGGAGGUCGGAAGCCAUGCAGGUCCCUGGAAGUGUGAGCAGAUUGUUAAAAUGGUAUCAAAGAUGGGCUGGCAUGAGGCCGGAGUCUAUCCUUGAUGCUCACCUGAGGUCUAGGGCUAAACUCUUGCCUUUACCUGUUCCAUGCUUAGCCGUUCCUGCUUUUUGCCUAGAACCUCAGUGCUAUUGCUCACACAGACCCAGCUCAUGUCCCCAGGCCAUGACCACUGCCUCCCCUUCUCCCACCUGUGCAGGUGUGAAGCAUCAGUACAUAACUGAGGAGUAGGAGGGCAGCAGCCCAAAUCUUUGAUGAAGAACCUCUUUCAUAUCAGCUUAUGCUUUGGAACGAGACGCUGUUGGAUGGCAAUCUGGCUUCUAACAAACUGAUUGGUUGGACUCAUGCCUUAUUCUUUCGGAGCCUUAGUUUUGUCAUGUGUAGAAUGGGGAGUAUUGCUAGCUGUUCCCAUAUGGAGUGAGAGAGAGUGUAAGUAAAAUGGAAUGGCAGGCACAGGGAUGGUUGCCAUUAUCAGUUACAUUAUUAUGAGGAUUAUUUUCUACCUAGAUCAGGUAUAAGGUGGAUGUAUUAUUGGCAUUCCUAGGACUGUUUUAAAGGAAGUACCUAUGAGGCCUCAUGAUAAGCCAGAUGUCCAGAAGCCAGCUUGAGACCAGGGCUCCUGGUCACUUAAAAGAUGUUUGGGGCUGGGCGUGGUGUCUCACACCUGUAAUCCCAGCACUUUGGGAGGCUGAGGUGGGCAGAUCACGAGGUCAAGAGAUCGAGACCAUCCUGGCCAAUAUGGUGAAACCUGUCACUACUAAAAAUCCAAAAAUUAGCUGGGCGUGGUGGUGAGCACCUGUAAUCCCAGCUACUCGGGAGCCUGAGGCAGGAGAAUCACUUGAACCCGAGAGGUGGAGGUUGCAGCGAGCCAAGGUCAUGCCAGUGUACUCCAGCCUGGGUGACAGAGCGAGACUCCAUCUCAAAAAAAAAAAAAAAAAGAAAAAGAAAAAGAAAAA